GUUGACUACCCGAAUUUGGUGGUAAACCACGACGAAGCCCGAUUAGGAUUUAACCCGGGUUCUAGGCGUGGUGGUCGCUAGCCACCCUCGCCGUUAGGUUGCCCUCUCAGACUUGCAGCGAGCUACCCGUAGGAAACAAGGGACAGUGGCCUUGGAAACUCGUGUCUCUUGGCACUGUGCUGCCAGCCACCAGCCGCCGCAUGACCACCAUGGUAGGCGAUGGCCUAAGCGCCUCUAGGCACCACCACAGGGGGAUGCUCCUCAUGAAACCUCCUCUAUGCAGCUAUUUUGCGACUAACCGUCAUUGUCCAAAGAUCUGGUAAUUGUGUCGUCGAGCCUCAUGGCAGCCUAAUGUUGUAGUCGGUAAUGGCUGUGUAUCCAGCCA
rnacentral:lncRNA from 1 species